GACGAACGCUGGCGGCGUGCUUAACACAUGCAAGUCGAACGGAAAGGCCCCUUUGGGGGUACUCGAGUGGCGAACGGGUGAGUAACACGUGAGUAACCUGCCCUUGACUUCGGGAUAACUUCAGGAAACUGGGGCAAUACCGGAUAGGAAUCCUUGCUGCAUGGUGGGGGUUGGAAAGCUUCGGCGGUUUUGGAUGGACUCGCGGCUUAUCAGCUUGUUGGUGGGGUAGUGGCUUACCAAGGCUUUGACGGGUAGCCGGCCUGAGAGGGCGACCGGCCACAUUGGGACUGAGAUACGGCCCAGACUCCUACGGGAGGCAGCAGUGGGGAAUAUUGCACGAUGGGCGGAAGCCUGAUGCAGCAACGCCGCGUGCGGGAUGACGGCCUUCGGGUUGUAAACCGCUUUCAGCAGGGGCGAAGCUUGUGGUGACGGUACCUGCAGAAGAAGCACCGGCUAACUACGUG
rnacentral:rRNA from 1 species